rnacentral:rRNA from 1 species
CUGUGAGGUAUGCUGGAGGUAUCAGAAGUGCGAAUGCUGACAUAAGUAACGAUAAAGCGGGUGAAAAGCCCGCUCGCCGGAAGACCAAGGGUUCCUGUCCAACGUUAAUCGGGGCAGGGUGAGUCGACCCCUAAGGCGAGGCCGAAAGGCGUAGUCGAUGGGAAACAGGUUAAUAUUCCUGUACUUGGUGUUACUGCGAAGGGGGGACGGAGAAGGCUAUGUUGGCCGGGCGACGGUUGUCCCGGUUUAAGCGUGUAGGCUGGUUUUCCAGGCAAAUCCGGAAAAUCAAGGCUGAGGCGUGAUGACGAGGCACUACGGUGCUGAAGCAACAAAUGCCCUGCUUCCAGGAAAAGCCUCUAAGCAUCAGGUAACAUCAAAUCGUACCCCAAACCGACACAGGUGGUCAGGUAGAGAAUACCAAGGCGCUUGAGAGAACUCGGGUGAAGGAACUAGGCAAAAUGGUGCCGUAACUUCGGGAGAAGGCACGCUGAUAUGUAGGUGAAGUCCCUCGCGGAUGGAGCUGAAAUCAGUCGAAGAUACCAGCUGGCUGCAACUGUUUAUUAAAAACACAGCACUGUGCAAACACGAAAGUGGACGUAUACGGUGUGACGCCUGCCCGGUGCCGGAAGGUUAAUUGAUGGGGUCAGCGCAAGCGAAGCUCUUGAUCGAAGCCCCGGUAAACGGCGGCCGUAACUAUAACGGUCCUAAGGUAGCGAAAUUCCUUGUCGGGUAAGUUCCGACCUGCACGAAUGGCGUAAUGAUGGCCAGGCUGUCUCCACCCGAGACUCAGUGAAAUUGAACUCGCUGUGAAGAUGCAGUGUACCCGCGGCAAGACGGAAAGACCCCGUGAACCUUUACUAUAGCUUGACACUGAACAUUGAGCCUUGAUGUGUAGGAUAGGUGGGAGGCUUUGAAGUGUGGACGCCAGUCUGCAUGGAGCCGACCUUGAAAUACCACCCUUUAAUGUUUGAUGUUCUAACGUUGACCCGUGAUCCGGGUUGCGGACAGUGUCUGGUGGGUAGUUUGACUGGGGCGGUCUCCUCCUAAAGAGUAACGGAGGAGCACGAAGGUUGGCUAAUCCUGGUCGGACAUCAGGAGGUUAGUGCAAUGGCAUAAGCCAGCUUGACUGCGAGCGUGACGGCGCGAGCAGGUGCGAAAGCAGGUCAUAGUGAUCCGGUGGUUCUGAAUGGAAGGGCCAUCGCUCAACGGAUAAAAGGUACUCCGGGGAUAACAGGCUGAUACCGCCCAAGAGUUCAUAUCGACGGCGGUGUUUGGCACCUCGAUGUCGGCUCAUCACAUCCUGGGGCUGAAGUAGGUCCCAAGGGUAUGGCUGUUCGCCAUUUAAAGUGGUACGCGAGCUGGGUUUAGAACGUCGUGAGACAGUUCGGUCCCUAUCUGCCGUGGGCGCUGGAGAACUGAGGGGGGCUGCUCCUAGUACGAGAGGACCGGAGUGGACGCAUCACUGGUGUUCGGGUUGUCAUGCCAAUGGCACUGCCCGGUAGCUAAAUGCGGAAGAGAUAAGUGCUGAAAGCAUCUAAGCACGAAACUUGCCCCGAGAUGAGUUCUCCCUGACUCCUUGAGAGUCCUGAAGGAACGUUGAAG